UACGUAGGGACCGAGCGUUGUCCGGAAUCAUUGGGCGUAAAGAGCGUGUAGGCGGCCUUUUAAGUCCUGCGUGAAAUCCUGCGGCUCAACCGCAGACGGUCGUGGGAAACUGGAAGGCUAGAGUGCGGGAGAGGAGAGUGGAAUUCCUGGUGUAGCGGUAGAAAUGCGCAGAUAUCAGGAGGAACACCAAUUGCGAAGGCAGCUCGCUGGAACGUAACUGACGCUGAGACGCGAAAGCGUGGGAGCAAACAGG
rnacentral:rRNA from 1 species